rnacentral:lncRNA from 1 species
CUCCAAGAACUUCCCACCUUGCUCUUGGGGAGACUCGAACUCACAAUCUCUCGGUUGGAAGUAAGGGUUGCUUACCAUCAGAGCAACCCCUUUUUAAAAUCCGAUUAAAAAUACCAAAAAAAAUUAUUUUUUUAGUUUUUAGGUAGUUAGGUAGUGUCCCUUGGGUUUUCUUUCGGCGUCGGUUCUUUUCCACGGGAUGUAGUUUGAACCGGGUAAUAGUUUUCAAAUUUUUUUAGAGUAGAUUAGGAAUUUAGGAAAUAAAUGGAGGAAGAAAGAUGAGAUUCCUAGGCGUAUUUGACUUGUUUGAUAGUAACAUAUUUAAGUUUUGGCAUGUGUAGUAUUUUCCCUAAGAUUUGAAAUUAUUGAUGAUGCCUUGCUUAGUUGGAUAGCAUGUCUUGUGACGCAGAUAUCUCGUUUUGGUGACUUAUAUUCACCUUGUGCUUCAUGCUUAAUAUCUCGUGGCUUCGUGAAUAAUUGCAUUUAUAUGAGAGUCGCAAUGAGACCGUCCUUAGUGAGUCAUGUGACAUGUGUGGUGAGGUUUUUCUAUAGUCUAUGUAUGUGCUUGUGUCUAAAACUUGUCCAGUAUGUGAGUUGAAGCGAAAUUUUAGCUGAUGCUUAGUUUGAAAAAUAAUUUUAGGCUUUCUUUGAUCUUUUUUGAGCUUUAUUACUUAUCACAAAUAAAAUUUAUCCCUAGUCAACCCUUUUGAGCCUAUAGACUUUUAUUGGCACCCACAUUAUAAGCCUAUACCCUUUUUAUUCUUAAUUCAUAUUGUUUUGAUCUUCUUUCCUCUUAAAGCACUUUAAUUGUGAGAUGAGCGCUAAAAGAAGUAAGAAGGAAUUAAGUGAAUGGUGACUUUUGAGUGGAACCAAUAAAAGGAAGAAAGGUGCACUUGUUUUGUAUAAUAAUACACCGCUAGCGGAAAUUGAAAAAAAAAGAAUAAUUUAAAGAAAAAAAAGAAAACAAAUAGAGAUGAAUACAUCGUUGUCUUGUUCUUGCUAGUGGGUAUAAAUUAAUGUAGUGCUUAAAAAAGGGUGCAUUUUUGGGGUGAUAUUGUUUGUGAAAGUGAAGUAGAUUGAAGAAUUGCGCUUAAAGUUGAUUAUGUGAUGUAUUAAAGUGCUUAUGAGGGUUAGUCACUAUUCCUACCCUACUUGUCCCUUACCCAUAUUAGAAUCAUGAAAAAGUCCUGAUUGAUUUUAGAUCGAGUGAGCCUACAUUAGUAGAGAUUUACAUUAUGGGCAAGCCUAUGGUACCAAGUGCAUGCAUGUGACUU